CACCCCCCGGACAUGUGCUCGAGCAGAUUAGAAACUGUCAGGCUCCCAGAUAGGUCCAGAAAGGACCUUAAGCACAGCCGUGCCCUGCAGAUAACAUCCUGCCUCUGCUGAAAGCAGGAAAGGGAGCCCAGGGCCACCCCCAACUUCUGACACCAGAGCAGCUCUGUGGAGGCAUUGGGCACAGUGGGCAGAGCACUGCCAGCUCUGCACUGGGACACAAAAAUUGAGGAGGGCUGAACACACUGUCUUGUGGAAGGUGCUGGCUGCCAUGGGUGGCACAGGAUGCUGUGGGUGUGACAAGCCAAGUGUUUCCAAGCAGAUGCUUCACACAGAGCCACCCCUCCAGCCGAAGCUGUGUAAAUAAUGUACCGGAGAAGCGUGCUGCUAAUUGAGUACCUCCCGAAAUGCCAAGAGGCAGGAAGACUCCAGUUAAAGGCAACUCUUCAUUUUAACUUGUGUCACUGAAGAGCACUAAAGUAAAUGAACUCCUGAGGACAAGAUCAAAGUAGAAUAAGAGACUCUUUUUUUAUAUCCUUGAAUCUCCUGUCCCUUUUGUACACUGAAAUUUAAUUUCCUUUUCAAAGAGAGCUUUUGGAGCUUAUGAAAAUUGACCCAAAAGAUUACAAGGGCUUUGUCACCCUUCCAAUCUCUCUGAAAGAUCCAUAAUUAGGGAGGUUUUUCCUUCAACAUAUGUGCCCAGCAGACAAAUAUAUAAUUCAGACUUACAAUUGCAUGAAACAGUUAUUUCAGUAUAUUAGAUACAUACAAGCCCAAACAUCACAAAGAGUUGAAAAAUCUUGUGUGCUUCAAACGAGUAAAUAUGCAUCCAGGCUUUUUUUUUUUUAACUGGCUUGUUUUCAUUUGUGCCAAGGCUACACACAAUCACACUAAGGACCUGGGACAGAUGUUUGCUACUAGGAUAAAUAUACCAAGUACAAUAAAAACAAACGGCUGACCUCGAGGAGUAGUUAUUUAUGCUCCUCUAGAAAUUAAUUCUGCAAGGAGGAAUGUGCGAGCGGAUACCUAAGACAGCUAUUCUGCUUUUUGCCCUCUAACGGAGUAACCCCGGCUUUACUCCUCCGGCACACAGCCUUCCCGGGGGAGACAGCAGUAACACGAACCAGCCAGGGUGCAGGUCUGCGCCGGGCAGGACCGGUCCCUGGGGCAGCUGGAGGGGGUUCCCCGGCGCUGUCGCCCCCCGAGCAUCGCCCGAAGGUGGCCCCUUCCUCCGGAGCCCACCCCGGCACCCGCCGCCUCCCCUCUGCCUCCCUCCAGUGGGGAAAUCCCGGCUGGAUGGGGAGAAGCCUCCCCGCUCCGGAGCGCCGGGGGAUGCUGCGAGCAGCGCCGCGGCCGCCCCUGCUUCUAAAUCACAGAAAUAAUUUUUUCAAAAACCCCAACAACUCAACAGCCGAGUGAGGAGGCUGGGAGGCUCCCACCGCGCCUUCUGCAGCAGCGGGGAGCGGGGGAUUCGCAGUCCCAUCUCUGCACCAUUUCUCUGGAGCACACAAGAGAUAGGAUAUGGUUCACCUCUCCAGCCACACCAACCUUGGUCACAAGUUGCAAGGAGGAGAUAUGGAAGAGAGCUCUGCAGUGGCUGGGUUUGCUCAGAAAGGCUCCUUUCUAUAAAUCAAGGCAGAAGAGGAGUGUGUUUGCCCCAGAGAUACUUCAGGGAGGCAUGACACAGUAACAGGGGUGUAAUGUGGUGCAGAGCAUGGAGAAGAUCCGCAGAUCUCUGCCAGCACCUGGCUGAGCCAAGAGCAGAGAACAAGACCAAAUCCACCUGAAACAGCAACUGUGGAGCCUAUUUCUCCUUUUUAUAUCACUGUUACACUCACUUAAUUCCCUCAGAUGCUCUCAACUUCCCUGAUGCACCUCAAGGAGCGUGGAGCACGGAGAAUGUGCAAAGCAAGAAACAAUGCGUAAAGACAUGAGGACAUAGCCCAGUGCAUGCAUCACCUCCCAGCUGCCCCUGUGAUGCUCUAACUCUGCUUCACAAAGGAGUCAGAGGAGCUCACAUGAGGCAAUUGAACAUGUUCUACUGAAUUCUCUAAGAUCUAAACUGAGCCAGCAAUGCAGAGCUCAGGGCAAAUAUUUCUCGUUAUCUCAGAAACCAGGUGGUUAUGGACGCCAGUACCACCUGGAGGGGGCUGAACAGACCCAACCCCUCUAACCUACAUUUGUCAUACGGGGAAUAUGUUACAGCACAACUUUGUGUGUCAUGGGGAGCUGCACCCGGCAGACAAGCCUGCUGACUGAGACACUACUGGACACAGAUUUAUUCCUGAAGAAAAGGUUGAACAAGAUAAAAUCCUCAUGGCAGCAUAGAAGUAUCCAAGGCUCCAGGGAACACAAACAAGCUGCAGAGUAAAGCCAGUCACCAUCAACAGCUGAGUGGGUAAUUCACAGCAAACCACAGCUUUGAUUAAAUGCACCCUUUUCCCAGCCACAGAAAAAUUGUUAAAGCUCUUGGAAGUUCCCUACUUGCUUCUAGUAAUUACCAAUGGAGCUCUUUAUGCAGAAGACCAGUGACAGAACUGUGCAUCUGUGAAAUGCCCUGAAGCCCUGGAAACAAAAGAUGUCACAGCAUUCAAGGUAUUUCAGAGACCCUGAGGACCUUGUCACUGCAUGAAUUCCACCUGCUUUGAAAGUCUUGCCUUUUGCAGUCAAGAGAAUAAGGCAGAAUUGUCCUUAUCUCCUGUCUCUAAAGGCAGGAGCCUGGCAAAAUGAAAGCAUCAUGCACAGUACAUGAGCAACAAGGCUGGGAGACACGAAUUAUGUCAUUGUUUUCUUCAUAAAGAUUAAAGGUCAUCUGUGCUUGUCCCCUCCAUACAUGGAGCACGCAGGGACGUGGAGACACCCAAACAAAGUCCAUAGCUACUGCAGAGCCAAUGUCUCUGUGUCAGUGAUAUCCACAUUCCCUGAUCACCCAGCCUUUCCUACACGUUGGCUUCCAGUCUGGUUGUGCUCUAGAGCCAGCACUCUUCAGGCACUGCAAGAACCAGCUCACACGUGGGUAUGGAUUUAGCCUAAGAUAGUCAGGGAGCCCACAUCACCAUAGUAACUGCAUGCUGUUGCAUUAAUUUCAGCAAAUAAAUGAAGCUUGUAAGUUCAAGGGGUAUUUAUGCAGAGCGGUGCAGGACCACACAGAGAAACUGCAACAGUCUUGAACGAGGCAGCCAGGCUUCCCUGGCUUCUUUAUCCUGCUUUUCAGGAGGACUGAUUAUCUGGUUGGAAGAUUCCAUUAAUACGAUCAGCCUGCUUUCUGUACUUGAUGUGGUGUUUUCAGACAUGACUUGGAUAUAUCUACGCAGCACAAGACUGAGCCAUGUAGGACCAACCAGAAGUAUGAAAAAGCUUCUACAGUAAUGUGCACAUUUUCUAAAAUUGAAGUUGCUAUAGAAAAAUUUAGCAGGUUUGAGUAUUCCCCUUCUGACUGGUGAUGUUUGUUUAGGAGCUUUUACCUAUUGAUAAAGGUGGAAUGAAUUGUUCUUUAUGAGGAAAGCAAGAACUUACCUGAGGCCAGCUAGGUUCCUCAUUUUGUUGCCAAAAACCCACCCACUAUUCUUAAAAAAAUUAAACAAAAAAUACUCACCAGGGCAAACACAGGUACAAAGUUCUGGUUCAUACAAGCCAACUUAAAGCCAGCUUGGCUGGGAGGGGAGCAGUCAAGCACUCUGCUUGUUGGCCACUCUGACUGCCUAAACUCAUCUGUGUCUGCAGGGUGUUGACUUCCCCUUUAAUCACAUGUUUGCAGAAGUGUUAUAAAAAAGGAGAAUCUGACUAAUCCAGGAACUCUGGAGUAAGAAGGAAGACAAGCAUUUUUAUUGGGUCUGUCUGGGAUUGAGUUCAUUUUCCCAUGGCAGCCCUAACGGUGCUCUGCUGGGCAUUGAUAGAUGGAAAGGUGUUGGUUACACAGCAGUGUUUGACUCCUGCAGAGCAAAGCUGGCACAGCAUCAGCACUGUCUGCCCAGAAUCCCCCCAUCAAGGGGCUAGGAGUGGGCAAGAUCCCAGGAAGGGACACAAGCAGACCAGUAGACCCAAAUUAACCACAGGAACAUUCCAUACCGUACAAAAUCAGCUAUAAUAUAAAAGAUAAGAAAAGGAGGACAAAGAGGGUGCUUUUGUUAUUUACAAUAUUUGCUGUCUGAAAAACUGCCACCCAUGCAGAAGUCUGGCUUCCUGGGAAGUGGCUGAACAUCCCUUGCUGGUGGGAAGUAGAGAAUGCAAUUAUUUUUUGUCUCUUUGCUUCAGUGCAUGUAAACUUUUGCUUUUGCUUUAGUAAAUUGACU